CGGCACAAGUAGAAAUGGAGAAGUGGAUGGAGGCACAAAGUAGUACAUUGGCUGAUGAAGACAAAAAGGAAACUUGAGCAAGUGCUACCAGAUUAUCGGUGUCAAAUGACUGGUGGCUGAAAUUCUGGAAAUUGUGGAGAUUGAUGUUUGUUAAGUGUCAAAUUAUGAGUGGUGACUGACCAUGUGAGAGUGCGUAAUAAGGUUAUUGGCUGGAUAGGAUAAUGACAUGUCCGUCUCAUGAUCAUGGGAAGACUGAAGAUUCUGCAUCUGUUUGACGAGCUUCAUGCUCAAUUAAGGACCAGAGAAAGAUAUUGGUCCCACAAGGAAUUCAUACUCUGCUGGAACGAUCAUUGUUGAUGCUUCUACUUUACAUGCAGCCGCCCAUGUAGCUUGAAACGCCUGCGUUGCACCAUAACAACCAUAAUUCCUAGGAUGCAAAUAUAAGCCAAAGUUAUGACUUGCUAUUGAGGGUAGGAAAACCAAAUGCACCUAUCAUGGUAUAGAAUUUUCUUUAUUCUUCUAAAUUAUUUGCAAUGGAUUAAUUCCAAUUAUCUACUUUGAAUAUAAGCCAUAGUUAUGACUUGCUCUUGAGGGAAAACGAAAUGAAACCUACCAUGGUAUAGAAUUUUCUUUAUUCUUCUACAUUAUUUGCAAUGCAUUAAUUCAAACAAUCUACUUUGAAUACUUAUUCUCUUUAAACCCAAAAGUGGUAUUAGAAGCCUCUAAUUUAACACUGCGUUAUGGUUUUUCUGGGUGGCUGUGUUUUUGUAUAUGUUUUUACUGGAGUAAUUUCAAGAAAAUUCUAUGCAUAUGAGGGUGUAUAUAUAUAUAGGUGUAUAUAUAUACAUAUCCUUGUUCACAUAUAUGUGGUCAUGGUUAUGAAUUCUGUUGUUGUGUGUUGAUUUUGAUUGGUAUGUGAGUAUAGACUUUAUUGUAAAAUCUAAAGGACACACGUGAGUGGGUCAAUGGCACUGAUUGUUACAGCUCCUUUUAUGGUCACAUGCUACACUCACGGGCUUGAGUUUUUGUGGCUUUUGUCUGCCUGACUCUAAUGCUCUAGGCCGUAGAGGCUCAUUUGUUAGGUUUCUGCUUCUUUAACCUUCCAAAGCCAGAUGUUCCCAAACAGAGAGAAAUAGGGUUAUAAGUAACUGAAACUAACUGUCUUCCUCUCCAACUGAUGGUCUCAAACUCUAUAUCGGAAUUGCUUGUUUGGAUUUUAAGGUUGAUGGUACCAGAAAAGUUUGACUUUUGGACCUCUAACAUGGACUUAAACUCUCCCAUUGCACAUAAAAGUUUCUC